rnacentral:rRNA from 1 species
AUUGAACGCUGGCGGCAGGCCUAACACAUGCAAGUCGAGCGAGCGGCGGACGGGUGUGUAAUGCCUGGGAAUUGCCCAGUCGAGGGGGAUAACAGUUGGAAACGACUGCUAAUACCGCAUACGAUUGGAUUGCCCAGUUGGGAUUAGCUAGUUGGUGAGGUAAUUGCUCACCAAGGCGACGAUCCCUAGCUGGGCUGAGAGGAUGAUCAGCCAAACUGGAACUGAGACUGGGUACAGAAGCCAACGGUAGGCAGCUGUGGGGAAUAGUGCAAAAUGGGGUAAACCCUGAUGCAGCCAUGCCGCGUGUGUGAAGAAGGCCUUCGGGUUGUAAAGCACUUUCAGCGAGGAGGCGUUACUCGCAGAAGAAGCACCGGCUAACUCCGUGCCAGCAGCCGCGGUAAUUC